UUUCCGUAGGUGAACCUGSGGAAGGAUCAUUGUCGAAUCCCUGCCAGAACGACCCGCGAAUCGAUGACGGCCAAUGCGGGGGGCUGGCCUGUGGGCCCGCCGCCCGAAGUCCCGGCGAGGGCAGUUGGGCAACCCCAAAUCCUCCGCCGCGGCACCAACAACGAACCCCGGCGCGAAUUGCGCCAAGGAAUUGAAAAACGAAGGAAGGCGACGAGCGCUCCUCUCGUCCUGGAAACAGUGCCUCGGGGGUGUUGCGUCGUCGCCGUUACCGUAUCUGAAUGACUCUCGGCAACGGAUAUCUUGGCUCUCGCAUCGAUGAAGAACGUAGCGAAAUGCGAUACUUGGUGUGAAUUGCAGAAUCCCGUGAACCAUCGAGUUUUUGAACGCAAGUUGCGCCCGAAGCCGUGAGGUCGAGGGCACGCUUGCCUGGGUGUCACGCAACGUCGCCGAGUAUCGCCUCACCACCUCAUGUUGAAUGGGGAACAAAGAGGACUCUGGCGGAUGAUGGCCUCCCGUAAGCUCUUUGCUCGCGGUUGGCCCAAAAGAAACCCCCCGAUGGCAGCAGCCACGGCACGCGGUGGGUGGCGGCAAUCGCUCCUCGAACCCCGUCGUGGGCGCGCCCGUCGGGGGGGUCUCAAAAGACCCCAACGCAAAGCGACCCCAGGUC
rnacentral:rRNA from 1 species